CGGAGGGUCCAAGCGUUAUCCGGAAUCAUUGGGUUUAAAGGGUCCGUAGGCGGUUUAGUAAGUCAGUGGUGAAAGCCCAUCGCUCAACGGUGGAACGGCCAUUGAUACUGCUAAACUUGAAUUAUUAGGAAGUAACUAGAAUAUGUAGUGUAGCGGUGAAAUGCUUAGAUAUUACAUGGAAUACCAAUUGCGAAGGCAGGUUACUACUAAUGGAUUGACGCUGAUGGACGAAAGCGUGGGUAGCGAACAGGAUUAGAUACCCUGGUAGUCCACGCCGUAAACGAUGGAUACUAGCUGUUCGGAGCAAUCUGAGUGGCUAAGCGAAAGUGAUAAGUAUCCCACCUGGGGAGUACGUUCGCAAGAAUG
rnacentral:rRNA from 1 species